AAAUAAAAUAAAAAGGUCAUUAAAAUUAAAAAAGUCGCGAAAAAUAGUGCUGCUGGAUAAGUGCAGUAAAUGGCAUGUUUGGUUGCCUGAAAGUAGCUGAAGUAAAAACAAAAAAAUCACUUUUGCAAAAGUGACUUUUACAAAAGUGACAUUUCAGUUCGAUUGUUUGGUUGACUAUAAAGCAAAUCAUGAAAAGUUAUAGUUUUAUAAUUUUGAUUCUUUAAUUAUACACAUAAAGAGGUGAAAAUAUAAACUAACGACUUAUACUCGCAAUUUAAAUUUAAAUUUAAAUUUAAAUUUUGAAUUCAAAAUUAUAUUUUAAAAGUUAAAUUUAAACUUAAAUCUGAAUUAUAUUUAUAAUUAAAAUUUAAGAUAUAAAUUAAAUUUAUAAUCUGAAUUUAAAGUUUAAGUUAUAAUUCAUAACUAAAAUUAAAUUCUAAAAUAAAUGUUCAACAUAGAAUUUACAACAUUUAUUCAAAAUUGAAUUCAUAAUUUGAAUUUACAAUUUGAAUCAUAUUUUAAUAGGAAAACUUCAAAAAACCCCCCUGUGGUUUCGCACUUUCUCACUUUAGUACCUUGUGGUUUAAAGUGUAUCAAUUUGCCCCCAUGUGGUUUUGUUUUUAUCUUUUCGGCAGCUUUUUCCUUAAUAUUUCGUUAAAUUAUAUACAAAAAACUUCAGAUACCCACCUUGAUUUAUCGAAUAUUUACUUUAGUACCCUUUAAUUUUAACUUUGUCACUGAUUUAAGAAAAAAAAUAAUAAAAUUGAUACUAAAUAGCAAAAAACAAAACCACAGGGGGACAAAUUGAUACACUUUAAACCAUAGGAUACUAAAGUGAGAAAGUGUGAAACCACAGGGAGUGUUUUUGAAGUUUUCCCUAUUUUAAUU
rnacentral:lncRNA from 1 species